rnacentral:rRNA from 1 species
UGAGGAAUAUUGGUCAAUGGGCGAGAGCCUGAACCAGCCAAGUAGCGUGCAGGAUGACGGCCCUAUGGGUUGUAAACUGCUUUUAUAUGGGAAUAAAGUGAGGGACGUGUCCCUUAUUGCAUGUACCAUACGAAUAAGGACCGGCUAAUUCCGUGCCAGCAGCCGCGGUAAUACGGAAGGUCCAGGCGUUAUCCGGAUUUAUUGGGUUUAAAGGGAGCGUAGGCUGUUUGUUAAGCGUGUUGUGAAAUGUAAGAGCUCAACUUUUAGAUUGCAGCGCGAACUGGCAGACUUGAGUGCGCACAACGUAGGCGGAAUUCAUGGUGUAGCGGUGAAAUGCUUAGAUAUCAUGACGAACUCCGAUUGCGGAGGCAGCUUACGGGAGCGCAACUGACGCUAAAGCUCGAAGGUGCGGGUAUCGAACAGG